GACGAACGCUGGCGGCGUGCUUAACACAUGCAAGUCGAACGGAAAGGCCCUGCUUUUGUGGGGUGCUCGAGUGGCGAACGGGUGAGUAACACGUGAGUAACCUGCCCUUGACUUUGGGAUAACUUCAGGAAACUGGGGCUAAUACCGGAUAGGAGCUCCUGCUGCAUGGUGGGGGUUGGAAAGUUUCGGCGGUUGGGGAUGGACUCGCGGCUUAUCAGCUUGUUGGUGGGGUAGUGGCUUACCAAGGCUUUGACGGGUAGCCGGCCUGAGAGGGUGACCGGCCACAUUGGGACUGAGAUAGGGCCCAGACUCCUACGGGAGGCAGCAGGGGGGAAUAUUGCACAAUGGGCGGAAGCCUGAUGCAGCAACGCCGCGUGCGGGAUGACGGCCUUCGGGUUGUAAACCGCUUUCGCCUGUGACGAAGCGUGAGUGACGGUAAUGGGUAAAGAAGCACCGGCUAACUACGUG
rnacentral:rRNA from 1 species